UACGAAGGGGGCUAGCGUUGUUCGGAUUUACUGGGCGUAAAGCGCGCGCAGGCGGUCCUUCAAGUCAGAGGUGAAAGCCCAGGGCUCAACCCUGGAAUGGCCUUUGAGACUAGAGGACUAGGGUACGGGAGAGGUGAGUGGAAUUCCGAGUGUAGAGGUGAAAUUCGUAGAUAUUCGGAAGAACACCAGUGGCGAAGGCGGCUCACUGGCCCGUUACCGACGCUCAGGCGCGACAGCGUGGGGAGCAAACAGG
rnacentral:rRNA from 1 species